rnacentral:rRNA from 1 species
CUGCCCUAUACAGGGGGAUAACAGUUGGAAACGACUGUUAAUACCGCAUAAGCGCACAGGAGCGCAUGCUCCGGUGUGAAAAACUCCGGUGGUAUAGGAUGGACCCGCGUCUGAUUAGCUGGUUGGCGGGGUAACGGCCCACCAAGGCGACGAUCAGUAGCCGGCCUGAGAGGGUGAACGGCCACAUUGGGACUGAGACACGGCCCAAACUCCUACGGGAGGCAGCAGUGGGGAAUAUUGCACAAUGGGGGGAACCCUGAUGCAGCGACGCCGCGUGAGCGAAGAAGUAUUUCGGUAUGUAAAGCUCUAUCAGCAGGGAAGAAAAUGACGGUACCUGACUAAGAAGCCCCGGCUAACUACGUGCCAGCAGCCGCGGUAAUACGUAGGGGGCAAGCGUUAUCCGGAUUUACUGGGUGUAAAGGGAGCGCAGGCGGCGCGGUAAGUCUGAUGUGAAAGCCCGGGGCUCAACCCCGGGACUGCAUUGGAAACUGUCGUGCUGGAGUGUCGGAGGGGCAAGUGGAAUUCCUAGUGUAGCGGUGAAAUGCGUAGAUAUUAGGAGGAACACCAGUGGCGAAGGCGGCUUGCUGGACGACAACUGACGCUGAGGCUCGAAAGCGUGGGGAGCAAACAGGAUUAGAUACCCUGGUAGUCCACGCCGUAAACGAUGA